UGAGGAAAGGGAAGCCAUCAUCUUUGUCUUAGCCAACAUAAAAUAUAAGCACUUCAACACUUAGAGUUGAAGUAAAUGACUGAGGUAUCAAAUCUUUGCUAGUACAAUCCAAGACAAAUUUUGGAAAGUGAAAUUCAGUUAUCAGAAAUAUUCACAAUAUUAUUGGAUGCGUAAGGAACUACAUUUAAACAAAAAUCUACUAA
rnacentral:misc_RNA from 1 species